GACGAACGCUGGCGGCGUGCUUAACACAUGCCAGUCGAACGGAAAGGCCCUGCUUUUGUGGGGUGCUCGAGUGGCGAACGGGUGAGUAACACGUGAGUAACCUGCCCUUGACUUUGGGAUAACUUCAGGAAACUGGGGCUAAUACCGGAUAGGAGCUCCUGCUGCAUGGUGGGGGUUGGAAAGUUUCGGCGGUUGGGGAUGGACUCGCGACUUAUCAGCUUGUUGGUGGGGUAGUGGCUUACCAAGGCGUUGACGGGUAGCCGGCCUGAGAGGGUGACCGGCCACAUUGGGACUGAGAUACGGCCCAGACUCCUACGGGAGGCAGCAGUGGGGAAUAUUGCACAAUGGGCGGAAGCCUGAUGCAGCAACGCCGCGUGCGGGAUGACGGCCUUCGGGUUGUAAACCGCUUUCGCCUGUGACGAAGCGUGAGUGACGGUAAUGGGUAAAGAAGCACCGGCUAACUACGUG
rnacentral:rRNA from 1 species